GACGUACGCUGGCGGCGUGCCUAAUACAUGCAAGUUGAGCGCUGAAGGUUGGUACUUGUACCAACUGGAUGAGCAGCGAACGGGUGAGUAACGCGUGGGGAAUCUGCCUUUGAGCGGGGGACAACAUUUGGAAACGAAUGCUAAUACCGCAUAAAAACUUUAAACACAAGUUUUAAGUUUGAAAGAUGCAAUUGCAUCACUCAAAGAUGAUCCCGCGUUGUAUUAGCUAGUUGGUGAGGUAAAGGCUCACCAAGGCGAUGAUACAUAGCCGACCUGAGAGGGUGAUCGGCCACAUUGGGACUGAGACACGGCCCAAACGCCUACGGGAGGCAGCAGUAGGGAAUCUUCGGCAAUGGACGAAAGUCUGACCGAGCAACGCCGCGUGAGUGAAGAAGGUUUUCGGAUCGUAAAACUCUGUUGGUAGAGAAGAACGUUGGUGAGAGUGGAAAGCUCAUCAAGUGACGGUAACUACCCAGAAAGGGACGGCUAACUACGUG
rnacentral:rRNA from 1 species